rnacentral:rRNA from 1 species
GUGAAAUUCCGUCGGAAUCUGGGAGGACCAUCUCCUAAGGCUAAAUACUCUCUAGUGACCGAUAGUGAACCAGUACCGUGAGGGAAAGGUGAAAAGCACCCCGGAAGGGGAGUGAAAUAGAACCUGAAACCGUGUGCUUACAAGUAGUCAGAGCCCGUUAAUGGGUGAUGGCGUGCCUUUUGUAGAAUGAACCGGCGAGUUACGAUUUGAUGCAAGGUUAAGCAGUAAAUGUGGAGCCGUAGCGAAAGCGAGUCUGAAUAGGGCGUUUAGUAUUUGGUCGUAGACCCGAAACCAGGUGAUCUACCCUUGGUCAGGUUGAAGUUCAGGUAACACUGAAUGGAGGACCGAACCGACUUACGUUGAAAAGUGAGCGGAUGAACUGAGGGUAGCGGAGAAAUUCCAAUCGAACCUGGAGAUAGCUGGUUCUCUCCGAAAUAGCUUUAGGGCUAGCCUCAAGUGAUGAUUAUUGGAGGUAGAGCACUGUUUGGACGAGGGGCCCCUCUCGGGUUACCGAAUUCAGACAAACUCCGAAUGCCAAUUAAUUUAACUUGGGAGUCAGAACAUGGGUGAUAAGGUCCGUGUUCGAAAGGGAAACAGCCCAGACCACCAGCUAAGGUCCCAAAAUAUAUGUUAAGUGGAAAAGGAUGUGGCGUUGCCCAGACAACUAGGAUGUUGGCUUAGAAGCAGCCAUCAUUUAAAGAGUGCGUAAUAGCUCACUAGUCGAGUGACACUGCGCCGAAAAUGUACCGGGGCUAAACAUAUUACCGAAGCUGUGGAUUGUCCUUUGGACAAUGGUAGGAGAGCGUUCUAAGGGCGUUGAAGCAUGAUCGUAAGGACAUGUGGAGCGCUUAGAAGUGAGAAUGCCGGUGUGAGUAGCGAAAGACGGGUGAGAAUCCCGUCCACCGAUUGACUAAGGUUUCCAGAGGAAGGCUCGUCCGCUCUGGGUUAGUCGGGUCCUAAGCUGAGGCCGACAGGCGUAGGCGAUGGAUAACAGGUUGAUAUUCCUGUACCACCUAUAAUCGUUUUAAUCGAUGGGGGGACGCAGUAGGAUAGGCGAAGCGUGCGAUUGGAUUGCACGUCUAAGCAGUAAGGCUGAGUAUUAGGCAAAUCCGGUACUCGUUAAGGCUGAGCUGUGAUGGGGAGAAGAC